UCUUGUUUUUCUUUUCUUUAUUUGAUAGAAAAUUAAAUGUUAAAAUGGACAUUUAAAUAUUAUUUUACAUGCACGAAUGACGUGGCAUGUACACGUGGCGUUUUAAGUGGGUCUAAGAACUAUAUUAAGCCGCAUGAUAAUCUUUAGGGUCUUUGUUUGGACAUUAUAAAACAUCAAGGACUAAUUCAACCCCUGAGCAAAAGUUGAAGGACUGAAUUGGCUAUUCACCCAAAAAAAACUACAUUAAAAAUAUCUCAAAAUCAAUCUUAAAAUUAAGUUUGAAAAUUUAAAAUUAGGCUUUUUCUUUGGCUUAUUAGGCCAUCCGAUGGGAGCCCGCGAGUUGCCGAGAUCACAAAUCCCCAAUCACGCCGCAAUAUCCAGAUCCUGUCGACAUUGGCGGUGCUAGGUCAGGUGUUGCUGAUGGCGUCUUUGCUCCUCCUACGUCCUGCGGCUUCAGGCGGUGCAAAUCGGAUCCGAUUCCCCUCGAUCAUCUCCUCCUUCAGGAGGGGCCUAUCCUCCCACAUCGACGCCCAUGGUAAGGUGAUGUUUGUGGCAGAAGAGAAGGACCUUUGCUUCAGAUGAUUCCCUGUGGGCCUUGUAUGAGCAGUGGUGCAAGGCUUCUCUUCAACCAGAAGCGUGACCAUGCUGGCUGAGAUGGUUGAGCGCUUCGAAAUCUUCAAGAGAUCGACGUGUGCUCCUUGUGGACAGAUCGAGCUAACAAGGAAGCUAUCAGAGAUGGUCUGUCCCGCAGACGACUUGGAAUAAACAAGUUCACCGAUGGGAAGAUUUCAGAGCUCCAGGCCAAUAAAAUGCAUCAGGGCAUGGGCCGGUGUUCGGUGAUUCAAAGAGUCCUGUUUUGAAUCUAUCUCAAACUCCCCAGAAUCAAAUCAUCUUUAAUUUUGUGCACAUGGUGUUAUGCUUAAUGUUUAAGGUAGUGCUUCGGAACCAAAGUUGUGCUCUUGAAUUUGUAUUAUUAGCAUUUUAGCAAGCUAUAUAUAGCAGGCCGUGCAUACUUAACUUGUACCAAGCGAUAUAUGCCCUCUUCCGCAAAUAAAUGCUUUGCUCCUGCACGUCAUGCAUACUACUUAUGUCCCAAAAUAUAGCAAGUUCUGGCUAUGACAUGUAAUUUAAGGAACUAAUAACAUGGGAUAAAAUUAAUAAGCACCAGAUUAUAUGGCCAGGCCAACCAGUAAGACUCAUGACAGGAAUUAUUCAAUUCACUCCAAAACGCACAAGAAUUUGGGGGGUAAAUAGCUCUUUUGAUUGCACUACUACUACUACACGAUCAAAUAAUUCCGUAUUGCCCCUCAACUCCCAGAUGGAGUAGCCUCUUACCAUUUAGUAAUGUGCAGUUAGAAGGGUAAGUGCUCCAUGGCAAACCAAUUAUUUUGACACGUGCUUACUCCUGAUAAUUGUCGAACUCAAGUUUAUUGAGCUAAUAAAGCUUAGCGUCUUUCCAGUUACAUAGAACUACUUGCAUCCGGCAAAUAAUCUAAUGCCAAAUCUUCCAUGGAAGGCCACCUAAUGCAUGGAGCAUGCUCAUUUUAGAAGCAGAGAAGUGCCAUAUGUACGUAUCGUACGUAGUGUACCAUUGGCAGGACUUCAGAGCUUCUGAAAACUGGAGUAAAUUGAUGAGAAAAAAACACUAUCACAAUAAGAAAUGCAUUAAGGAUGUUCCCAGCACCAGUUAAAGACGGCUAUUUUCCAGUUAGUGCAAUUCAUGAGAUGAAGCAUUCAACUCAAUCAUACAAGAGUAUGGGCAAAGGCAGCUUAAACUUUGUUAUUGCACAAUUAAUAUUAGUACAUUGAUUGCAGAAAUCUUCAAAUGAUAGUAUACUAAUACAGGAGUGCACUGAAUUAUCCACAGAAUAGAAGAUAAUGAUCAGUAUCAUUCACACCCCACAGCUCCAAAGCUUAGCAUAAAUGCAUGAUCAUGUUUGCACCGCUAAGAAACCGUUGAAUCAGCAUAGCUAGCCUUUGUUGUUCUAAUUUGCACUAGUAUACUUUGUGGUUGCUUUUGGGGAUUGAAUUCGAUCAAAA